rnacentral:rRNA from 1 species
UACGAAGGGGGCUAGCGUUGCUCGGAAUCACUGGGCGUAAAGGGUGCGUAGGCGGGUUUUUAAGUCAGAGGUGAAAUCCUGGAGCUCAACUCCAGAACUGCCUUUGAUACUGAAAGUCUUGAGUAUGGGAGAGGUGAGUGGAACUGCGAGUGUAGAGGUGAAAUUCGUAGAUAUUCGCAAGAACACCAGUGGCGAAGGCGGCUCACUGGCCCAUAACUGACGCUGAGGCACGAAAGCGUGGGGAUCAAACAGG